rfam:Pseudomonas fluorescens ABAC62 scaffold311_001, whole genome shotgun sequence.
ACGCUGGCCGAACGCGGGUUUGAAUCCGUGGGUAACCCGGCAGGACGCCGGGUUAGCCGCCCCGCGCCAUGGAUGGCGCGUGGCGGCGGCCCACGGAUUCAAGCCUGCGUUCGGGCACACC